AGCUUUGUGCAGUGGCAGUAUCGUAGCCAAUGAGGUUUAUUCGAGGUGCGAUUAUUGCUGAUUGUAAACUUUUCCUAAUACCCCGCCAUGACGACUUGAAAUAUAGUUGGCAUUGGCAAUUUUUGACAGUCUCUACGGAGA
rnacentral:snRNA from 1 species